rnacentral:rRNA from 1 species
UACGUAGGGACCGAGCGUUGUCCGGAUUCAUUGGGCGUAAAGAGCUCGUAGGCGGCUGUUCAAGUCGAACGUGAAAACUCGGAGCUCAACUCCGAGCCUGCGUUCGAUACUGGACGGCUAGAGUCUGGUAGGGGGAUCUGGAAUUCCUGGUGUAGCGGUGGAAUGCGCAGAUAUCAGGAGGAACACCGGUGGCGAAGGCGGAUCUCUGGGCCGGUACUGACGCUGAGGAGCGAAAGCGUGGGGAGCGAACAGG